rnacentral:rRNA from 1 species
CCUACGGGAGGCAGCAGUGAGGAAUAUUGGUCAAUGGCCGAGAGGCUGAACCAGCCAAGUAGCGUGAGGGAAGACGGCCCUACGGGUUGUAAACCUCUUUUGUCGGGGAGCAAAGCGAGUCACGUGUGACUCAUUGAGAGUACCCGAAAAAAAAGCAUAGGCUAACUCCGUGCCAGCAGCCGCGGUAAUACGGAGGAUGCGAGCGUUAUCCGGAUUUAUUGGGUUUAAAGGGUGCGCGGGCGGGGGUGCAAGUCAGCGGUCAAAUUGCGGGGCUCCACCCCGUACUGCCGUUGAAACUGCAUCCAUUGAGUGCGCGAGAAGUAUGCGGAAUGCGUGGUGUAGCGGUGA